rnacentral:rRNA from 1 species
GAUGAACGCUGGCGGCGUGCUUAACACAUGCAAGUCGAACGAGAAGUGAAGACGGAAACCUUCGGGCGGAAGGCUUUAUUUCGAGUGGCGGACGGGUGAGUAACGCGUGGGUAACCUGCCUCAUACAGGGGGAUAACAGUUGGAAACGACUGUUAAUACCGCAUAAGACCACAGCACCGCAUGGUGCGGGGGUAAAAACUCCGGUGGUAUGAGAUGGACCCGCGUUCGAUUAGCCAGUUGGCGGGGUAACGGCCCACCAAAGCGACGAUCGAUAGCCGAUCUGAGAGGAUGACCGGCCACAGUGGGACUGAGACACGGCCCAAACUCCUACGGGAGGCAGCAGUGGGGAAUAUUGCACAAUGGGGGAAACCCUGAUGCAGCGACGCCGCGUGAGUGAAGAAGUAUUUCGGUAUGUAAAGCUCUAUCAGCAGGGAAGAAAAUGACGGUACCUGAGGAAGAAGCCCCGGCUAACUACGUG